rnacentral:rRNA from 1 species
UACGUAGGGUGCGAGCGUUAAUCGGAAUUACUGGGCGUAAAGCGUGCGCAGGCGGUUCGUUGUGUCGGUGGUGAAAUCCCCGGGCUUAACCUGGGAAUGGCCAUGGAAACUGGCGAACUGGAGUGUGGCAGAGGGGGGUGGAAUUCCGCGUGUAGCAGUGAAAUGCGUAGAGAUGCGGAGGACCACCGAUGGCGAAGGCAGCCCCCUGGGCUAACACUGACGCUCAGGCACGAAAGCGUGGGGAGCAAACAGG